rnacentral:rRNA from 1 species
UACGAGUGCCUCAAGCGUUGUCCGGAAUUAUUGGGCGUAAAGAGCUCGUAGGCGGUUCGUCGCGUCGGCUGUGAAAACCUGAGGCUCAACCUCCAGCCUGCAGUGGGUACGGGCAGACUAGAGUGCGGGUAGGGGAGAUUGGAAUUCCUGGUGUAGCGGUGGAAUGCGCAGAUAUCAGGAGGAACACCGAUGGCGAAGGCAGAUCUCGUGGGCCGUGAACCUG